rnacentral:lncRNA from 1 species
UCCCAGACAUACACCAUCAGUUGGCUCAGGCCCAUUUCCAUCCUUAAUUGAGCUGUCAACAUACAAUCUUGGACCUUAGAGAGACCUUAUGACGAGUCUGAUACCCCCUCCUUUUUCUCAAUUAGUGAAAUUUUGGUAUGCAUGGUACAUUCAGAAUUCUGAUAUCGUCACUCGUUUUUUUAUCCUGACAAAUUCAUUAGUAAAUUG